rnacentral:lncRNA from 1 species
AAUGUAGCUGGGUCAGAAUAAGGCCAUUUUGUCAGAAGUUCCUACUCCUUGGGUUUUCCCUAUGACACAUGGGGAAAAAAUUGCCCUGUAUAUCAAUUUUUAGUUUUUACUCAGAAUUCUUCAAUAGCUCAUAAAAAAGUCAUCACUAUAAUCUAAGCAGAUUCUACAUUUCUUUUAUGGCGAUUUGAGACCCAAAUAAUUCCAAUACAAAUAUAAGGUAAAAGUCCAAGUCCCUUUUCCUGUCAUUUAAAAAAAUCAAAUAUCUUUACAAUGUCACCAUCAGGAUUAAUUAUAAAUAGGGAGGGAAGGCAGAUGUGAAAGUUAACUGGAUCAAGAAUGUUAAAUAAAAUAUGUUUUUGUUAAUUUGGACGACAUUUGACUUGCAAUUAUGUACCAUUUACUACGCUGAAUGUAGUACAGACUUGCUUACCGUACCAUUUCAACACUGGAAGAAGUACGUUUGUCUGAGCGAAGCCAAUUGGAAGCAUGUACCUCUUAGUGAAGCUAAUUGGGAGCACAUACCCUCUGUCUUGUUGCGAAGCUGAUUGGAAGCAGUACAUAUAUACCUCUGUCUGCUAAAUCUAAUUAGAAGCAGUACCCCUGGCAGAGUGGGCCCGAUUAGAAGCAUGUAACUCUGAGGGAAGCCAAUUGGAAGCAUGUACCUCUGCAAAAUUUGAUUAAACACUAUUCAACAAAUUUUAUUUAACAUUCUUUUUAAAGUUUACUUUCAUACCUUCUUUCAUUUUUUAUUUAUAAUUAUUCCCCCUGUUGACAUUGUGAAGUACAAAUUAUCACUUCACCAUUUUGUAAUCUUCUUUAG